rnacentral:rRNA from 1 species
UACGGAGGGAGCUAGCGUUGUUCGGAAUUACUGGGCGUAAAGCGCACGUAGGCGGCUUUUUAAGUCAGGGGUGAAAUCCCGGAGCUCAACUCCGGAACUGCCCUUGAAACUGGGAAGCUAGAAUCUUGGAGAGGCGAGUGGAAUUCCGAGUGUAGAGGUGAAAUUCGUAGAUAUUCGGAAGAACACCAGUGGCGAAGGCGACUCGCUGGACAAGUAUUGACGCUGAGGUGCGGAAGCGUGGGGAGCAAACAGG